UGUCAUUUUUCCGAAGUCUUUCCCGCGUUAUUUAUCCUCUUCAAAGUGUUCGAUUCAUUUUCUUUAAGUGUUUCGUCUCGCGUUUGAUAUAAAUUGUAACAAAUUCGCGACGUAAAUCGUGCCAUUUGCCAAAUUCGAAUCCGUGAUAAGUGAAAGAGAAAAGUGAAGCGUGCAAGUUGAUUUUUACUCGGUAAUGUGUGUAUGUGUGUGUGUAGUGUAGCUGACAAUAAAUGCAAGUUUCCAGUAUUUAUGGAGUCUUUGAUGGACCUGAUGUGAAGCAAUCUGAGGCGGAAUCUACAGCGAAUGCAGCAAAUUACAAUAUUUUAGUUGAUACAAUUGGCGGCGUUUCCAGUUAGGAUACAAUGACCGUUCGACUAACAACUCUAACCGAGAUGAUAACAUCUACAAAAAUAAGAAGAAGCGAAAUCGGAAGAAUGCAAUGCAGCGCAACGAGAUAUCAAUUCCGCUUGCGCGCCACGUCGGUGGCAAUGCCGCUAAUAGACCAAAAGAUUCUCAUCAGUUAACUGCUCCUGGCUACUACGCGCGAGACUGAUGCGAGCAGUGCGGGAGGAUGCCGGGGAGAGGUGAGGGAAGGGUCGGUGGAAAAAAUAUAUCCUCUCGUUGCUGAGAUGCCAGAAGCGAGACGCAUACCUCUUAAUUGGAACGCUUUGCUGCGCCUAAGCGAUUUGGGCGGAUUUCUGAGGAAAUGGGCGUUUAAGUGUACCCUAGGAUCAUUUACAAGCGCCAACGCUAUCGAAUAUGUGACUCGAGAUGUCCGAGAUCAGCUGAAAUCCGAUGCACCAAAUCUCUCCGCCAGUCUCACGUAAAUUCCGCUUUAAAUCGCUCAUUUUCGUAACCUUGCGUUAAGAAAUUCCAUCGAACCGCAUUCUUAUUAAUUAGCUAAUCAAUACAGAUAUAUUUUUAACAAUAGCAUUCGAAUCUAUUCUAAUAAUUAAUAAU